GCCUACGGGAGGCAGCAGUGAGGAAUAUUGGUCAAUGGGCGGGAGCCUGAACCAGCCAAGCCGCGUGAAGGAAGAAGGCGCCAAGCGUCGUAAACUUCUUUUGUCGGGGAACAAAGGGCGCCACGUGUGGCGUUGUGAGUGUACCCGAAGAAAAAGCAUCGGCUAACUCCGUGCCAGCAGCCGCGGUAAUACGUAGGGAGCGAGCGUUGACCGGAAUUACUGGGUGUAAAGGGAGCGUAGGCGGGACGGCAAGUCAGAUGUGAAAACUGAGGGCUCAACCUUCAGACUGCAUUUGAAACUGCUGU
rnacentral:rRNA from 1 species